rnacentral:lncRNA from 1 species
CACAUGUUUAGCGGAUGUUAUUGCGGGUGUAGCGAAAUGCUUGUGUUUCUAGCUCCGACAGUGGCGUUGUUGCACCUUCUUCACCGCACUGUCUGUGUGGGUGGACCAUUUCAGUUCGACAGUGAUGUGUAUGUCAAGGAGCUUUCCACCUUCCCCAGUCCAGAGUUAGGAAGGACACCUAUAUCUUUGUAGUGACUGGGUGUAUUGACACACAAUUCAAAGUGUAAUGAAAAACGUCACCAUGAUCAAAGGAAGGCUGUAACGCAACAAAAUGUGGAAAAAGCCAAGAGGUGUGAAUAUUUUCUGAAGGGACUGUAAAUAGAUGGAGCACCAAUUCGCUAGCCUGGAUUUUGGAUCAUGCAUGGAGAGAGUGGGUCGUUUGUUGAAGUCAAUAGACUUAAUUUGAAAUGUUCAAAUAUGUAACCAAAGCGUUUGAACAUUUUUUGUUCUCAUCUGUUCAUGCACCAGAUUGGAAUGCAAAGUUUGUUUGCUCAAGGCCAGGAGGGAGACACUACAACUGGCCAACGGUGCCAAGUUUGGGCCGCAGACAUGAAGCUUAGGUUUCUGGCUGUAAUACCAAGGGCCUGAAGUCGAAAGUGUGGCAGAUGCUACCUUGCCAUGGAUGAGGGUCCAGACUCAGGUCACCCGUUACCUGAAAGGGGCCUCCGAUUGUGAAGGCAGGAUGUGGCGGCACACAGGAGAGAGGAAUCUGCUGUAGUGAGAGUCAACAUCAAGUUUUUGACCACCUGUUUCAAAGCCAGCCUCUACCCCCAAGCCACAAUACUGUUCCAACAGUUGAACCCUGGGCUGACUUUUGCAUCAUACCACACACUUACCAUUUAUUUUAAUAUUCUGUACACACUGAAAUUACUUUGUAGUGUACAUUAUCAUAGUAUAUUACCCUCAAACACAAAUGUCCCACUACACCUACACUGAUUUCCCACUAAUGCGGAUUUAUAAGCCUAACCCACUUCUAGGACAAAGAACAAAACUGUUACUGUCAUUCACCAAUGUAAAAAACAUUUCUGGGGUUAACUGAAAUUGACAACAACAAAAAAAUGUAUACAAAUAUACUUCAUCAAAAUUAAUUCAAGUAGUUUCAGUGAUUUGUUCAUUUAAUUUUACCCCAACAUUUUUGAAUAAAUCCAAUUUAAUAUGUUGUUCAAACGUAUCUUUAUUAGGAUAACCAAAAAUAGACUAAAUGUAGUGAUUUAAUUUACUCAAUUGUAAUCAUAUUUCUCUAAACGUAAUUUAAGUUCUUGCAACAACUUGCCAAGUGGCUCCAUUUUUUGAGGAUUGUGGGUAAUUCAAAAAUGUUUUACUUUAUGAUUAUUUACAUUUGAGUCACUUAGCAGACACUGUUAUCCAGAGCAGCUUACAGUUAGUGCAUUUAUCUCAGUCAUAGUAAGUACAUUUUCUUCAAUAAAGUAGUUAUCAGCAGUCAAGUGUGAGUGUUAAUUCAAUAAAAGGCUCGGGGUGGGUGCUGUGGGACUAUUUAAGAUACUCCUUGAAGACGUAGGGUCUCAGAUGUUUUUCGGAAGAUGGGCAGGGACUCUGCUGUCCUAGCGUCAGGGGGAAGCUUGUUCCGCCAUUGGGGUGCCAGGACAGAGAAGAGCUUUGACUGGACUGAGUGGGCGCUGCCCUCCCGUAGAGGUGGGAGGGCCAAGAGACCAGAGGUGUCAGAACGGAGUGCUCGGGUUGGGGUGUAGGGUUGAGCAUAGCCUGGAGGUAGGGAGGGACAGUUCCCCUUGCUGCUCUGUAGGCAGGCACCAUGGUCUUGUAGUGGAUGCGAGCUUCGACUGGAAGCCAGUGGAGUAUGCGGAGGAGUGGGGCGACAUGGGAGAACUUGGGAUGGUUGAACACCAAUCGGGCUGCUGCGUUCUGCAUCAGUUGCAGGGUUUUAAUGGCACAAGUGGGGAGCCCAGCCAACAGCAAGUAGAGAGAUAUGGCUGGAUUAGGACCUGACCCCGCUUCCUGUGUGAGGUAAGGUCACACUCUAUGGAUGUUGUAGAGCGUGAACCUGCAGGAGCGAGUCACUGCUUUGUUUGCAGAGAACGACAGAGUGUUGUCCAGGAUCAAGCCAAAGUCCUUUGCACUCUGGGAGGGGGACACAGUGGAGAUGUCAACCAUGAUGGAGAAGUCUUGGAGCGGGCAGGCCUUCCCUGGGAGGAAGAGCUGCUCCGUCUUGUUGAGGUUGAGCUUGAGGUAGUGGGCCGACAUCCAAGCUGUGAUGUCCGCCAGGCACGCAGAGAUGCGUGUCAGCACCUGGGUGUCAGAAGGGGGUAAAGAGAAAAGUAAUUGAGUGUUGUCCACAUAGCAAUGAUAGGUCGAGACCAUGUGAGGAUAUGACGGAGCCGAGUGACUUGGUCUACAGAGAGAAGAGGAGAGGGCCUAGAACCGAGCCCUGGGGGACACCAGUAGUGAGAGCAGGAGAGGAGGGUCCAAUGUUUUACCGUGUCAAAGGCAGCAGAUAGAUCUAAGAGGAUGAGAACAGAGGAGAGAUAGUCAACUUUGGCAGUUUGGAGAGCCUCCAUGACGCAGAGGAGAACGAUCUCAGGUGAGUGACCCAUCUUGAAGCCUGACUGGUUAGGGUCAAGAAAAUCGUUCUGAGAGAGAAAAUGAGAGAGUUGGUCAUAGACAGCAUGCUCCAGUGCUUUGGAAAGAAAAGAAAGAAGGGAUACCAGUCUAUAGUUUUUGAAGUCAGAGGGGUUGAGUGUUGGUUUCUUGAUGAGGGGAGCGACUCUGGCCAAGUCAGUGGUCAGGGAUUAGUUGAUGAGGGAAGUGAGGAAUAGAAUAAGGUCUCCAGAGAUGGUCUGGAGAAGGGAGGAGAUGGAGUCGAGCGGGUAGGUAGUCGGGCAACCGGACAUGACCCAUAGCAGGAUUUCAUCUGGAAUACAUGUUUGAAGAAAGAAAGUAUUUUUCUAUAUCAGUAUUAAGCAGCUUGUUAUGCCAUGCGGUGUAAUGGAUCAUGAUGAAUGGAUAUCAAAACUGUCAGGUAAAUUGUCGUUUAAUGAUGAGAUGGAUACAUUAGUGUAAAAUUGAGUGUAAAAGGUAACUUUGUAUUUAAUACACUACUUUGAAAGUAAAAAUAUAAAAAUGUUACUGCAGUUUCUGAUAGUUUUUCAUCAUUGUUGCGAUCAUAAAUGUUAUAAAAUACAAAUAUUCUAAGGUAUUUUGAGGCAACACAGGGGAAGCAAUGACCCAAAAUGUCAAUACAGGUGAAUGCAUUUUCACCAUUGACCUAUAGGGGGUGAUGAAAUUGACCUUUAUCAAGUUUUGUUCAGCGUGAAAAAUUAUACAAGUGUGCCAAUUUCCACGCUUCUAUACUAAAUCGAACAAUAUGGUAUUUCUUUGGGGAGCUUAUCUACUGUACUAUAACAUCAUUGUCCUCUCAUAGUAUGUUCUAGUUCCUUUUGCAUCCCUUUGAUAUGUUAAGUAGAAAUUGUGCACCCAUAUUGAUUUUUUAAAACCUGUUAUAUUCAAUGCAGUGCCCUUUAAUAUAGACUACAUGGAGAAUUCAAUAAAUCAGAUUUCUAAUAUGAAUAAUGACUUGCUAAACUGCCAAAAUUCAGAAUUUUGACAUGUCCCUCUUUGCACCCUCUGUGACAUCCAGGAAGAUUUUAACCCACUUAACCUCAAAAUGUCUCCAAGUUGUCACCAUCAAUGUAAGUCCUAGUUAUGCUGUUUCUUUGACAAAGUCAUUUCUGAAGAUUAUUAUUGAUUCAUGUGAUUAAUUUGAAGAUAAAAAAAGAAUAAUAAUAAACCUG